rnacentral:lncRNA from 10 species
CAACAGGUGUAUACGCUUUAAAAAUACCCAGGUCAUGAGAGACAACACUAAGGAAUAGUUCCAGAUGAAAGGAGACUCAAGAGGGUCUUCAUAAGAAGAGUCUAGGACACAGGCAUGUACACAGAGACAGCAGAAACCAUGUGAGGACACAGGGAGAAGGCGGCCAUCUGCAAACCAAGGAAAACAGGCUUCAGGAGAAACACACCUUGAUCUUGGACUUCCAGCCUCCAAAACUGGAACACGGUACAACUUUCACGAGGACUGAGUUAACACCGAGAAUGCAUGUGACAUGGACAACCUGGUGCCUCACUUUUUGUCACAAACAGAACUUUCCUGGGAAGGCACUGCCACUGAUUUUGUUGACCAUCUGCACCACACCUAUCACGCUGCCUCGGC